rnacentral:lncRNA from 1 species
UUUCAUAAUUAUAAUUGUAAAUUAAGCAUAAUUUUAGGUAAAUAUUAAUGUGGUUUAAAACUUUUUUAUUGUUGUUUGUAUGUGGACCUGGGGAUUCUACCCAGGGACUUGUGUAUCCUUGGCAAGAACUGUAGCACCUAUUUCAAAUCCCAGGACUUUGUAUUGGAGACAGGGAGUUUAUAAAUUCCCUGAUUUACUGGAAACUUGAUGUCAGCCUGCCUCAGCCUCCUAUGUAUCUGCAAUUCUUGGUGAGGCCCUCUGCACCCAGUGCACAUUGAGUCUUUUAGGAAGUAAUUU